rnacentral:rRNA from 1 species
UACGUAGGGUGCGAGCGUUGUCCGGAAUUAUUGGGCGUAAAGGGCUCGUAGGCGGUUUGUCGCGUCGGGAGUGAAAACUCAGGGCUUAACCCUGAGCCUGCUUCCGAUACGGGCAGACUAGAGGUAUGCAGGGGAGAACGGAAUUCCUGGUGUAGCGGUGAAAUGCGCAGAUAUCAGGAGGAACACCGGUGGCGAAGGCGGUUCUCUGGGCAUUACCUGACGCUGAGGAGCGAAAGUGUCGGGGAGCGAACAGG